rnacentral:lncRNA from 1 species
UUCAUUGGAAGAUGAAAGCUUAUGAUGAAAAUGCCAAAUAUAUUUUAUUUAUUAACAAAUCAAUUACAAUACUUGGUUGCUCAACCGUCAACAGCUUGAUGAUUGGCUUUUUGGGACACAUUUCCCAACAACUCCCACUUGUCCUAAAGCCACUCAGCACAGUAUCUAAUACCCAUCUUCGACUUGUGGUUGUCGAACACCUUUAUUGUC